UGGGGAAUUUUGGACAAUGGGCGAAAGCCUGAUCCAGCAAUGCCGCGUGUGUGAAGAAGGCCUUCGGGUUGCAAAGCACUUUUGUCCGGAAAGAAAUCCUUGGCUCUAAUACAGUCGGGGGAUGACGGUACCGGAAGAAUAAGCACCGGCUAACUACGUGCCAGCAGCCGCGGUAAUACGUAGGGUGCAAGCGUUAAUCGGAAUUACUGGGCGUAAAGCGUGCGCAGGCGGUUUGCUAAGACCGAUGUGAAAUCCCCGGGCUCAACCUGGGAACUGCAUUGGUGACUGGGCAGGCUAGAGUAUGGCAGAGGGGGGUAGAAUUCCACGUGUAGCAGUGAAAUGCGUAGAGAUGUGGAGGAAUACCGAUGGCGAAGGCAGCCCCCUGGGCCAAUACUGACGCUCAUGCACGAAAGCGUGGGGAGCAAACAGGAUUAGAUACCCUGGUAGUCCACGCCCUAAACGAUGUCAACUAGUUGUUGGGGGAUUCAUUUCCUUAGUAACGUAGCUAACGCGUGAAGUUGACCGCCUGGGGAGUACGGUCGCAAGAUUAAAACUCAAAUGAAUUGACGGGGUCAUAGCUGUUUCCU
rnacentral:rRNA from 1 species